GGCCUCGUGGCCAAGCGGUUACGGCGUCAGUUUCCGAUUAAGAGUUUCUCUUCAGGAUCAGCUGGAAAUCGUGGGUUCGAUCCCCACCGAGGUCG
rfam:Rhodotorula sp. JG-1b unplaced genomic scaffold RHOSPscaffold_45, whole genome shotgun sequence.